rnacentral:rRNA from 1 species
GAUGAACGCUGGCGGCGUGCCUAAUACAUGCAAGUCGAGCGAACAGAUAAGGAGCUUGCUCCUUUGACGUUAGCGGCGGACGGGUGAGUAACACGUGGAUAACCUACCUAUAAGACUGGGAUAACUUCGGGAAACCGGAGCUAAUACCGGAUAACAUAUUGAACCGCAUGGUUCAAUAGUGAAAGGCGGCUUUGCUGUCACUUAUAGAUGGAUCCGCGCCGUAUUAGCUAGUUGGUAAGGUAACGGCUUACCAAGGCAACGAUACGUAGCCGACCUGAGAGAGGGAUCGGCCACACUGGAACUGAGACACGGUCCAGACUCCUACGGGAGGCAGCAGUAGGGAAUCUUCCGCAAUGGGCGAAAGCCUGACGGAGCAACGCCGCGUGAGUGAUGAAGGUCUUCGGAUCGUAAAACUCUGUUAUCAGGGAAGAACAAAUGUGUAAGUAACUGUGCACAUCUUGACGGUACCUGAUCAGAAAGCCACGGCUAACUACGUG